UACGUAGGGUGCAAGCGUUGUCCGGAAUCACUGGGCGUAAAGGGCGCGUAGGCGGCGCGGGGAGUCAACGGUGAAAGCUCGGCGCUCAACGCCGAGUCGGCCGUCGAUACUCCCCGUGCUCGAGCACUGUAGAGGCAGGUGGAAUUCCGGGUGUAGGCGGUGGAAUGCGUAGGAGAUCCGGAAGAACGACCGGUGGCGCAAGGCGGCCCGAGCUGGGCCAAC
rnacentral:rRNA from 1 species